GGUACCGGUGGAUCACGUGGCUAGUGUGUCGAUGAAGAGCGCAGCCAACUGUGUGAAUUAAUGCGAACUGCAUGCUCAUUUGAACAUCGACUUUUCGAACGCACAUUGCGGCCACGGGUUAGCCCGUGGCCACGUCUGUUCGAGUGUUGGUCUAUAAACUAUCACGACGCCCAUAAAGUCGUGGCCUGGGUCUUGCCAGCCGGUGUGAUUUCCCUUGUCUCGUCACGGGGGUGCCGGAUCUAUGGCUUUUCCUUAAUGUAUUCCAGACGCACACCUUGGCCCUUCGGGGUUCGAGGGUUGGCAGAGUCGUGGCUUAAUGUGUUGUAUAUAUAUGCACGUUCUGUCAUCGUGGCCUGUUUUGGACAAACUCUAUAUGCGCUUCUCGCGCUUCCCAACCUCGGAUCAGGCGUGAAUACCCGCUGAACUUAAGCAUAUCACUAAGCGGAGGAAAAGAAACUAACCAG
rnacentral:rRNA from 1 species